rnacentral:lncRNA from 1 species
AAGCGUUCCUCAGGUGGCUAGCUGUGCGGGUAUGCAAGCAGCCCACGCGAGUUCGAUCUCUGGAAUCAUGCUCGCGCAUCUCACCUGAGGAUUUUUUUCCUCACACGCAUGCGUAUCAAAAAUCCUAAACGUGUGAUAGGAAUGCGCACAUGUGUGUAUUUGUUGUGGUGUGAGUGUGGUAUGUAUUUGUGUAUAUCCUGAGUUAUACUCUUGUAAAAAAAUUAUCCUGUAUGCUUUCCAUCGACUAUUUAUGACACCAUUCGAUGGUAAGGAGGUGCUAUCACACAAUAGAGGUUGCUAGUUCCUACCUAACAAGCUAAUUAGGUUUGGAUCCAUAUGAUCCAUGUGGUGCAU